rnacentral:rRNA from 1 species
AAUUUUGGACAAUGGGCGAAAGCCUGAUCCAGCCAUUCCGCGUGAGUGAAGAAGGCCCUCGGGUCGUAAACCUCUGUCGGGAGGGAAGAACGGUUACCGUUCGAAUAGGACGGGAGCCUGACGGUACCUCCAAAGGAAGCGCCGGCUAACUCCGUGCCAGCAGCCGCGGUAAUACGGAGGGUGCAAGCGUUGUUCGGAAUCAUUGGGCGUAAAGCGCGUGUAGGCGGCUUGGCAAGUCGGUUGUGAGAGCCCGGGGCCCAACCCCGGAAUUGCAUCUGAAACUGCCUCGCUAGAGUCCCGGAGAGGAAGGCAGAAUUCCCGGUGUAGGGGUGAAAUCCGUAGAUAUCGGGAGGAAUACCAGCGGCGAAGGCGGCCUUCUGGACGGUGACUGACGCUGAGACGCGAAAGCGUGGGGAGCAAAC